rnacentral:rRNA from 1 species
AGCGAACGCUGGCGGCAGGCCUAACACAUGCAGGUCGAACGAACCUUUCGGGGUUAGUGGCGGACGGGUGAGUAACACGUGGGAACGUGCCUUUAGGUUCGGAAUAACUCAGGGAAACUUGUGCUAAUACCGAAUGUGCCCUUCGGGGGAAAGAUUUAUCGCCUUUAGAGCGGCCCGCGUCUGAUUAGCUAGUUGGUUGAGGUAAUGGCUCACCAAGGCGACGAUCAGUAGCUGGUCUGAGAGGAUGAUCAGCCACAUUGGGACUGAGACACAGCCCAAACUCCUACGGGAGGCAGCAGUGGGGAAUCUUGCGCAAUGGGCGAAAGCCUGACGCAGCCAUGCCGCGUGAAUGAUGAAGGUCUUAGGAUUGUAAAAUUCUUUCACCGGGGACGAUAAUGACGGUACCCGGAGAAGAAGCCCCGGCUAACUUCGUG